UACGGAGGGGGCUAGCGUUGUUCGGAAUUACUGGGCGUAAAGGGCGCGUAGGCGGCCCUCUAAGUCGAACGUGAAAUCCCCGGGCUCAACCCGGGAACUGCGUCCGAUACUGGAAGGCUUGAAUCCGGGAGAGGGAUGCGGAAUUCCAGGUGUAGCGGUGAAAUGCGUAGAUAUCUGGAGGAACACCGGUGGCGAAGGCGGCAUCCUGGACCGGCAUUGACGCUGAGGCGCGAAAGCCAGGGGAGCAAACGGG
rnacentral:rRNA from 1 species